rnacentral:rRNA from 1 species
UACAGAGGGGGCAAGCGUUGUUCGGAAUUACUGGGCGUAAAGGGCGCGUAGGCGGCCUUCUAAGUCGAACGUGAAAUCCCUGGGCUCAACCCAGGAACUGCGUCCGAUACUGGAAGGCUUGAAUCCGGGAGAGGGAUGCGGAAUUCCAGGUGUAGCGGUGAAAUGCGUAGAUAUCUGGAGGAACACCGGUGGCGAAGGCGGCAUCCUGGCCUGUUUCUUGACGCUGAGGCGCGAAAGCUAGGGGAGCAAACGGG